AACGAACGCUGGCGGCAGGCCUAACACAUGCAAGUCGAGCGAGCAUUUCGGUGCUAGCGGCGGACGGGUGAGUAACGCGUGGGAACGUGCCCUUUUCUGCGGAAUAGUCCAGGGCAACUGGGGGUAAUACCGCAUACGCUCUUUUGGGGAAGGAUUUAUGGGUGAAGGACCGGCCCGCGUUGGUUUGGGUUGUUGGUGGGGUACGGGCCCACCAAGCCGACGAUCCAUAGCUGGUUGGAGAGGAUGAUCAGCCACACUGGGACUGAGACACGGCCCAGACUCCUACGGGAGGCAGCAGUGGGGAAUCUUAGACAAUGGGGGCAACCCUGAACGAGCCAUGCCGCGUGAGUGAUGAAGGCCUUAGGGUUGUAAAGCUCUUUCAGCUGGGAAGAUAAUGACGGUACCAGCAGAAGAAGCCCCGGCUAACUCCGUG
rnacentral:rRNA from 1 species